GUUUUUUUGUUUAUAAUUUAAAGUCGAAUCUGCCCACUGAUUAAAAAUUAAAGGGCUGCAGUAAAUUGACUGUACAAAGGUAGCAUAAUCAUUAGUCUUUUAAUUGAAGACUUGUAUGAAGGAUUUGAUGAAAUAUAAACUGUCUCUUUAUUAUAAUUAGAAUUUAAUUUUUUAGUAAAAAAGCUAAAAUUUUAUUAAAAGACGAGAAGACCCUAUAGAGUUUUAUAAUUAAGUUAGUUAUAGUUAUAUUUUAAAUUAUUAAUAAAAAUUAAUUUAAUUAUUUUAUUGGGGUGAUAGAAAAAUAAAUUAAACUUUUUUUUUUGAACAUAUUUUAACAUUAAUUAAUGAAAUAAUGAUCCAUAAUUUAUGAUUAUAAGAAAAAAUUACCUUAGGGAUAACAGCGUAAUUUUUUUUUUUAGUUCAUAUAAGAAAUAAAGUUUGCGACCUCGAUGUUGGAUUAAGAUAAAAUUUAAAUGUAGAAGUUUAAAAUUUUGAUCUGUUCGAUCAUUAAAAUCUUACA
rnacentral:rRNA from 1 species